rnacentral:rRNA from 1 species
UACGUAGGCAGCGAGCGUUGUUCGGAGUUACUGGGCGUAAAGAGUGCGUAGGCGGUGCCCUAAGUCUGGUGUGAAAUCUCCCGGCUCAACCGGGAGGGUGCGCCGGAAACUGGGGUGCUCGAGUGUGGGAGAGGCAGGCGGAAUUCCCGGUGUAGCGGUGAAAUGCGUAGAUAUCGCUUGGAACGCCAAAGGUGAAGACAGGUGACUGGGGGUGUGCCGACGCUGAGACGCGAAAGCCAGGGGAGCAAACGGG